AUACAACUUGGGAUGCUAUCAGAUUUGACUGAAGACAUUCGCAUUAAAGCAUUUAACUUGCUUGAUACCAAGUAAAAAAAAGAUGAAUUUUUGAAAAUGACUGUUGAUGAAUAUAAAAGUUGGAUAGCUUACAAGAUUAGAGAUUAGAGGAUAGUGAUGAGUUUAGUCAUGUUUUUGGAAUUAUGUUUUUUUUUUUGUUUGACCAUCUUUUUAUGAGUACAUUGUUUUGUUGGUUUUUUAUUUUAAGACUUUAUUUUCUUCAUUAAUGAAUUAGUAUUUUUUUUUACAUUUUUAGUCAAGUGCCUUUAUUAUUAUUUCAAUUAUUGUUUCAUUGUUUAUAUUGCAGCAUGAAUUAUGAAGAUAAAAUUGAAGAUGAAAUGAAAGAUGAACUUGAGGAUGAAAUUGAAACAGAAAUGGAGCUUGAACUUUAUGAUCAGGUUAGGCUCUUGAUGGAGGCAACUAAGGCAAUUAUCAUUUUAUUGGGAAAUAUUAU
rnacentral:lncRNA from 1 species